GAGUAGAAAUGGCGCGUCAAGUACCGGCGGAUGGGAGGUUGCCGCCGGGCGAAGGAGUCGGUGGCGGCUCCGCGGUGGCAUUUCGCAUCCGCU
rnacentral:ncRNA from 1 species